rnacentral:rRNA from 1 species
AUGAACGCUGGCGGCGUGCCUAAUCCAUGCCAGUCGAGCGAACGGACGAGAAGCUUGCUUUUCUGAUGUUAGCGGCGGACGGGUGAGUAACACGUGGAUAACCUACCUAUAAGACUGGGAUAACUUCGGGAAACCGGAGCUAAUACCGGAUAAUAUUUUGAACCGCAUGGUUCCAAAGUGAAAGACGGUCUUGCUGUCACUUAUAGAUGGAUCCGCGCUGCAUUAGCUAGUUGGUAAGGUAACGGCUUACCAAGGCAACGAUGCAUAGCCGACCUGAGAGGGUGAUCGGCCACACUGGAACUGAGACACGGUCCAGACUCCUACGGGAGGCAGCAGUAGGGAAUCUUCCGCAAUGGGCGAAAGCCUGACGGAGCAACGCCGCGUGAGUGAUGAAGGUCUUCGGAUCGUAAAACUCUGUUAUUAGGGAAGAACAUAUGUGUAAGUAACUGUGCACAUCUUGACGGUACCUAAUCAGAAAGCCACGGCUAACUACGUG